rnacentral:rRNA from 2 species
AGUAGGGAAUUUUCCACAAUGGACGAAAGUCUGAUGGAGCGACACAGCGUGCCUGAUGAAGGCCUUCGGGUUGUAAAGGGCUGUGGUAAGGGAAGAAAAAGUAGCAUAGGAAAUGAUGUUGCCUUGACGGUACCUUAUUAGAAAGCAACGGCUAACUAUGUGCCAGCAGCCGCGGUAAUACAUAGGUUGCAAGCGUUAUCCGAAAUUAUUGGGCGUAAAGCGUCUGUAGGUUGUUUAUUAAGUCUGACGUUAAAUUUUGGGGCUCAACCCCAACCCGCGUUAGAUACUGGUAGACUAGAGUUAUGUAGAGGUUAGCGGAAUUCCUUGUGAAGCGGUGAAAUGCGUAGAUAUAAGGAAGAACACCAAAAUGGCGAAGGCAGCUAACUGGACAUAUACUGACACUGAGAGACGAAAGCAUGGGGAGCAAACAGGAUUAGAUACCCUGGUAGUCCAUGCCGUAAACGAUGAUCAUUAGCUAAUGGGGAGCUCAUUGGCGCAGCUAACGCAUUAAAUGAUCCGCCUGAGUAGUAUGCUCGCAAGAGUAAAA